rnacentral:misc_RNA from 1 species
UCCUCGUUUAAGCGAGGCAGUCUGUCCAGAGUGCUCCGAACUCUCGUUCGGGUGGCAACAGGACAUGGGGGUUGCGCUCGUUGCGGGACUUAACCCAACAUCUCACGACACGAGCUGACGACAGCCAUGCAGCACCUGUGUAAGCUCCCCUUGCGGGGUCGUUGCCCUUUCAGGCUUCUACCACCUACAUGUCAAGGCCAGGUAAGGUUCUUCGCGUUGCAUCGAAUUAAGCCACAUACUCCACCGCUUGUGCAGGCCCCCGUCAAUUUCUUUGAGUUUCGGUCUUGCGACCGUACUCCCCAGGCGGAGUGUUUCACGCGUUAGCUGGGCCCCUGAUCCACGUAGACCAAGGGCGAACACCCAUCGUUUACGGCAUGGACUAC